AGCCAUUCUUAGCAGGGAGGGAGUUAACGUCUGUGCUGUGGCUUGGAGGUGGCAGAGGAGAGUGCACACUUCACUUGGAACUCGCUGCAGGAGACUGAGCCAGUUAGAGGCACCAAGGCAUUCUGAGUCCCCAGGGAUCCAGCAAAUGGGAGACAAAUGUCAGGGUGACAAGGUAUGAUGCCUGCCCACACUGAGGCGCAAGCCGGACACAGGCUUCCCCUCCAGCACCAGCUACACACGUGACAACUGAUGGCAGCAGGUGGAGCAAGUCUGGACCCAGCCUUCAUACAAGUGAGUUGUUCUAGGGUCUCACUCUGUCGUCCAGGCUGGAGUGCAGUGGCAUGUGAUCACAGAGCAAUGUAACCUCAAACUCCUGGGUUCAAUCGAUCCUCCCAUCCCAGCCUCCCAAGUAGCUGGGACUACAGGGAUGCACCACCAUGCCUGGCUAAUUUUUAAAUGUUUUGUAGAGACAUGGGGCAGGCGGCGUGGGGCUGGUCUCCAACUCUUGGCAUCAAGUGACCCUCCAGACUCUGCCUCCCAAAGUGCUGGGAUUAUAGACUUGAGCCACUGCAGCCAGCCUGGCCCACAUAUCUGGUGUCUGUUUGGGACUGUCUCCAGCCUCUCUCCACUUUCCGGCCUGUACUCCAGACUGUGGACAUUAUACAACUUGAAAAACUUAAGUUGGUUGAAAAUCUCCAGCAGCUCCUCACUGCCUCCAGAAUGAAGUCCUCUGGGACAAGAGAAGGCCUUUUAUUGCUAGGCAGCUGCGUCCCUUGCUUGCCCUUCUCUGCCUAGUGGCCCAGGCCAUCCACUCUGUGCCCCGAAUACAUUGCAUGCCUUCAUGCCUUACUGUUCUAGACCUUGCCAGUCCUUCUGCCUGCAGUGGCCUUGGACUCACCACCUUCUUUCUCCAUCUGGCAAACAGCUAUCCUCCAAAGCCCAGUUCAGACAUCACUGCCUCUCCCUCUGCCUCCUGACCCAAAGCAGAAUUUAGUACCUCACUCACCUCACCGCACAUGGCACCUAGUAGACUGGUAUAUUAUACCACUUACUGUCAAUUAUAUUACCUUUUUUUUUUUUUGAGAUGGAGUCUCGCUGUAUAGCCCAGGCUGGAGUGCAGUGGCACAAUCUUAGCUCGCUGCAACCUCUGCCUCUGGGGUUCAAGCAAUUCUCCUGCCUCAGCCUCCUGAGUAGCUGGGACCACAGGCAUGUGCCACCAUGCCCAAUUAAUUUUAGUAAUUUUAGUAAGGAUGGGGUUUCACCAUGUUGGCCAGGCUGGUCUCGAACUCCUGACCUCAGGUGAUCCACCUGCCUCGGCCUCCCAAAAUGCUGGGAUUACAGACGUGAGCCACCACGCCCGGCCUAUAUUACAUUUUUCUAUGCAGCUGGAUCCUGUUUCCCAUUAGAUAGGGCAAGAGCAGAAAUCAUUUCUUACCAUCUCUGUUCCAGAGGCCCUAGUGUAGAGCAAAUGCUCUGUAAGUGUCUGUAGCACAAACAGAUGCAUUCAUGUGCAAAAUAACUCUGCUCACACAGCACCAGAACUGGCAAAGAUCCUAAAGAAAGAAUUCUACCAAUAUGUGGGUAAUUGGGCUAGCUGGCUUCGAAUUCCUUCAAUACACAUAUCCCCAACACAGUCACUUAACAAUGAAACAGUGAACUCAACCAUGUUCCACUGAAGGAUACAAACAGCAUUCUCCGAAAGGGGGCAAACAGCAAUGUGAAAUUUCCAUCACAGCACCUUUUGCUUUUCCCUCUAUUUUUUUUUUUUUUUUUUUGGAGACAGAGUCUCACUCUGUUACCAGGCUGGAGUGCAAUGGCAUGAUCUCGGCUCACUGCAACUUCCGACUCCCUGGUUCAAGCGAUUCUCCUGCCUCGGCUUCCCAAGUAGCUGGGACUACAGGCGCGUAUCACCAUGCCCAGCUAAUCUUUGUAUAUGUAGUAGAGACAGGGUUUCACCAUGUUGGCCAGGAUGGUCUCCAUCUCUUGACCUUGUGAUCCGCCUGCCUCAGCUCCCAAAGUGCUGGGAUUACAGGUGUGAGCCACCGCGCCCGGCUGCUUUUCCCUCUUUUAAACAGAGAAAGUUUUGUUUGGAAAGGGGAAACGGCACCCUUGCUAAAACUGUAACUUUCGACAUUGUCAUAGACUAUGUUGCAUUGCUGAAACAGAGUAUCACAGACUGGAUAAUUUAUGAACUAAUUUAUUUCUUACAGUUCUGAAGUCUGGGAAGUUCAAGAUCAAGGGGCCGGUGUCUGGUGAGGGCCUUUUUGCUGUGUCAUAACAUGGUGGAGGGCAUCACAUGGCAAGAGGGCAAGAGCGAGCCAGCUCAGGUCUCUCUUCCUCUUUUAAAGCCACCAGUCCCAUCAUGGGGGCCCCGCCCUGAUGACCAUAUCCAAUCCUAAUUACCUCUCGAAAGUCCUACCUCUAAUCAACACAUGAACUUGGGGAUUAAGUUUUUAACACGUGAAACAUAGGGGACCCAUUCUAAUCAUAGCAGACAUGAUUUAUGUUUUACUUUUCCAAUUAUAGGCAUCUUAAAGUACGGAGACCAUCUUUUAUAUUUCUCUGUAUUUUCCACAACAUUUAGCAUAGUCUUAUGUAUUCAGCAAGAACUCAAUUCAACAAAUAUUUAACACUUCAAUGAAUACAUAAAAAUGCAAAGGGCUGCACAUCUGUUAGUAAAAGUAACACAGAAUCUAGACAAAAGUAAACUGAAUGGUUUUUCUUCAUAAUGAAAAAAGUAUUUCUAAAAAAAGCAUUCAGCAGGCUCAGGCUUUUAACUCUUACCAACUUUUUCUGUAAAAUUAUGCUUUUCAAAUUUACCAAAAUGUUAUAUUAAAUAUUAAUAUAUUUUAGCAUGUAAUAGAUAUAUAAUACAUAUAUUUUUAUAAGCUUAGAAAGUACAAUAAAGGCAGAGGCAAUCUAGUUAGAAACUUUCCAAUCACAAACACUAGAAACAAUAUCCGUGUCUUUACUUAUUUAUAUUUAUGUAUUUGUUUUGAGAUAGAGUCUCGCUCUGUCACCCAGGCUAGAGUGCAGUGGUGCGGUCUCGACUUACUGCAACCUCUGCCUCCCAGGUUCAAGCGAUUCUCCUGCCUCAGCCUCCCAAGUUGCUGGGACUACAGAUGUUCACCACUACACCCAGCUUAUUUUUUGUGGAGACGGGUUUCACUAUAUUGGCCAGACUGGUCUCGAACUCCUGAACUCAAGUGAUCUGCCCGCCUUGGCCUCCCAAAGUGCUGGGAUUACAGGCGUGAGCCACCGCGCCCGACUAAUAUCCAUGUCUUUUAAACUACCUAGCAAGUUGCUUUUUGGCCAGACAAAACCUUAGUUGUUGAACUCCAGGGCACCUGUCUCUGAAACAUAUUACUGCUCAUUUUCAUCAUAACAGCAACUGGAAAGUAAUUCAUUUAAUUAAAUGUCCUUUUCUCUUCCCCCCUUCCUAAAAGAGACUACCUUGUAAAAAAUUUGAGGCAGAAACAAAC
rnacentral:lncRNA from 1 species